CAAAUCGGAAAUUCGAAAUGACGAAAGGUGUUGUCUUCUGCGCUGCAGUGCAGCUCUUCCUGGCCGCUUCCCUGCUACUCGCUCAUGCGGACGAGGGAACGGCCGAACGCGACGAGGGCGAGCUGGCAAGACGGUUCACUGGGGGCCACAUGAGCCCCCAGUUCCUGGCUGGUCACCACGAGGCGGAGAAGUCGACGGGCCAGCUUAAAGAAGAGCGAUGGUGCCCUUGGUCCCCUGCGUUGUGCUCCGCCGGUGGCCUGUUUGGGAAAAGGCAGGAACGGGCCGCCAAGAGCUUGAAGGAGGCUGACCAGAGCCCAGAAUAGUAGGGAAACCGCGAUCGACGACGACAAAAUUCACAGAACCGAAGCCUUCAUCCAGACAACCAGACAUCACUCCCAACGUGUGGCAAACGCCCGUUAUACCGAUUACUUCGAAAGCUAGAAGAUUCUCCACGUUACAAGAAUCCACAGCCAGAAACUAGUCAACAAAUCCAAAAGAGUCUUCCACGAAAGUUCUCAAGAAAUUACCAUGUUGUUGCAUUUAAUUAAUGGAACAGUAAACAUUAAUGCUCAAAGGAAAUUGAAUGUGAACUGCUUAUUUCUACUCCAUGAUAAUUAUAUUCGAAUUCCAAUACCAUAAGUUUAAUCCACAAGGCUAAACGCAACUCGACAUGCCUGUACAUUAGUGCAUUAGUACUCGCAAUAGGGUGUUUUUGAAAACAGAUUCAGCCUUCGUAAUAUAGAAUAUACUUCCAACUUUCUUUGAGCAUAACUUUAUUCCUUACAUAAGAUGCCCCGAAUUUCACGUAGUUUUCUUAGUCAUUUUGAUCUGCAAAUCGCUCCCUCUGUUUGUGUCUGUCAAUACAAACCAUAAAUAUAACUGGAAACAGUAUCUAUUGCAGCAAAUGUAGAAAAAAGUGAGGCAGUAUUGUAGCUGUCAAGUUGCUUAUAGCUUAUAUCCAGUUAAAAAAACAGUAAACACCAUUUUGUAACGAAUGGUGCUAUGGGUACCACUUCAUCUCGUGUUGUUCCUUUGAAAAGGAGAAUUAAAGUUAAAAAACAAGCA